rnacentral:rRNA from 1 species
GACGAACGCUGGCGGCGUGCUUAACACAUGCAAGUCGAACGGAAAGGCCCUGCUUUUGUGGGGUGCUCGAGUGGCGAACGGGUGAGUAACACGUGAGUAACCUGCCCUUGACUUUGGGAUAACUUCAGGAAACUGGGGCUAAUACCGGAUAGGAGCUCCUGCUGCAUGGUGGGGGUUGGAAAGUUUCGGCGGUUGGGGAUAGACACGCGGCUUAUCAGCUUGUUGGUGAGGUAGUGGCUUACCAAGGCUUUGACGGGUAGCCGGCCUGAGAGGGUGACCGGCCAAAUUGGAACUAGAAUACGGCCCAGACUCCUACGGGAGGCAGCAGUGGGGAAUAUUGCACAAUGGGCGGAAGCCUGAUGCAGCAACGCCGCGUGCGGGAUAACGGCCUUCGGGUUAUAAACCGCUUUCGCCUGAGACGAAGCGUGAGUGACGGUAAUGGGUAAAGAAGCACCGGCUAACUACGUG